GGCGUUUUUUGCCCAGGCGGAGCUCGACCGCCGGUACAAGUCCUGAAGGACUUCAUCGACCAGAACCGAGACGCCUACGGGGUCGAGCCGAUCUGCAAGGUGCUGCCGAUCGCCCCG
rfam:Arenimonas malthae CC-JY-1 contig205, whole genome shotgun sequence.